UUAUUGGCCAUAGAGAAUGGUACUGUGCGUGCCAAUAUAGCAUGGAUGUCUGACUCAGAACAUAAAGUGCAGGUGCCAGCAGCAAGAAGAUGCUGCUAAGAAAUACCAGCUCUCUGGGACUGCAAAGUGUCAGCUGUCUAGGGAGACCGGAGCUGGGAACAGGAAGCCACUGAUGGCUGACGAUGUUUCUUUGCCAUCUCCCUCUCCUCUUGCAGCUUUGGAGCAAUGAGCCGUGGCAGCAGGAGUGGUGGAGCUGCUCCUCCUGAGCCAGAUCAAGCAGCCCCGAACCAUCCUGCAGGAGCCUGCACGCGUGGGAGAGCAGGGAACACACAGCAUUAUCCAGGGGCAGCUGCUCCUCUCCUCCUCGCGGGAUGCUCCUGGCCACGGACAGCACCUCGUGGCUUGCCCUCAUCCCUGGAGCCUGCUCUAGGAGCAGAAAGAACAGAGAAUCGGAGAGCAGAAAACCGACAGCAUUAAUACAUUUUGUACAGUGCCCUGCGCAAUGUGCCUUGCACAGCUGGGCACGCCAGAGGUACAGGUAACCAUAGGACUUCUGAAAAAAAAAAAAGAAUGAAGAUGGCAGCACAGUACCUGUCAAGAUUUGGAGAAUUAAGAUGACAAAAAGCAGGCUGGUGGGCUUAAACCUCCUGCAUUGAUCCAAAAGACUGUCUAGUUUUACACAUCCUUCUGGUCCUUUAUACAUUAAUGUUAUGCUUACUACGUAAAACCCAUGUAGGUGCAACUGUAUGUGUUUCUGUGUGUAUGCACUCGCAUAUGACUGUAUUUUCUUAUUUGCAUAUGUGUAUGAAUACAUGCAGCACGUGUGGGCGGUGAGAAGCUAAAGGAACAUUUUCAAGGUUGACAAGACCAAAAUUUGAUCCUCCUGCAGCCGGCUGGGUUUUUCUAAGCGUGUGCUGAGGCAGAAGGAGCAAGAAUCCCCUUGCAGGCUGGAGGGUGCUGCAGGAGGAUGAAGCCCCAGCCCACCGGCUCAGUGCAGAGGAGUUAACCCAGCACACCAGCUCUGCCAGCACGGUUAUGCUGCUGACAGGCCUCGAUAACAGGGAUAUCCUGGUCCCAAAAAUAAGCCAGCAGGAACCUGCCUUGAGAUGGGUGUCUGAGCUCUGAGCAGCCUGGUGCGGGGUCCUAA